GUUGCCGGCCAUAGGACGCGGGACCUACCCGAACCCAUUCCGAACUCGGAAGUUAAACCGCGUUCCGUCCUCGGUUGUAGUGUUGUCUUCGGCGACGCGAAGCCGCGGAAGCUGGCAGCC
rnacentral:rRNA from 1 species